rnacentral:rRNA from 1 species
GGAAUAUUGGACAAUGGGCGCAAGCCUGAUCCAGCCAUGCCGCGUGAGUGAUGAAGGCCUUAGGGUUGUAAAGCUCUUUCACCGGUGAAGAUAAUGACGGUAACCGGAGAAGAAGCCCCGGCUAACUUCGUGCCAGCAGCCGCGGUAAUACGAAGGGGGCUAGCGUUGUUCGGAAUUACUGGGCGUAAAGCGCACGUAGGCGGAUAUUUAAGUCAGGGGUGAAAUCCCAGAGCUCAACUCUGGAACUGCCUUUGAUACUGGGUAUCUUGAGUAUGGAAGAGGUAAGUGGAAUUGCGAGUGUAGAGGUGAAAUUCGUAGAUAUUCGCAGGAACACCAGUGGCGAAGGCGGCUUACUGGUCCAUAACUGACGCUGAGGUGCGAAAGCGUGGGGAGCAAACAGGAUUAGAUACCCCUG